UACGAAGGGGGCUAGCGUUGCUCGGAAUUACUGGGCGUAAAGGGAGCGUAGGCGGAUAGUUCAGUCAGAGGUGAAAGCCCAGGGCUCAACCUUGGAAUUGCCUUUGAUACUGGCUGUCUUGAGUAUGGGAGAGGUGAGUGGAACUGCGAGUGUAGAGGUGAAAUUCGUAGAUAUUCGGAAGAACACCAGUGGCGAAGGCGGCUCACUGGACUGGUAUUGACGCUGAGGUGCGAAAGCGUGGGGAGCAAACAGG
rnacentral:rRNA from 1 species